AGUAAAAGUCGUAACAAGGUCUCCGUUGGUGAACCAGCGGAGGGAUCAUUACAGAGUUAUCCAACUCCCAAACUCAUGUGAACUUAUCUCUUUGUUGCCUCGGCGCAAGCUACCCGGGACCUCGCGCCCCGGGCGGCCCGCCGGCGGACAAACCAAAACUCUUGUUAUCUUAGUUGAUUAUCUGAGUGUCUUAUUUAAUAAGUCAAAACUUUCAACAACGGAUCUCUUGGUUCUGGCAUCGAUGAAGAACGCAGCGAAAUGCGAUAAGUAAUGUGAAUUGCAGAAUUCAGUGAAUCAUCGAAUCUUUGAACGCACAUUGCGCCCAUUAGUAUUCUAGUGGGCAUGCCUGUUCGAGCGUCAUUUCAACCCCUAAGCACAGCUUAUUGUUGGGAACCUACGGCUUCGUAGUUCCUCAAAGACAUUGGCGGAGUGGCAGUGGUCCUCUGAGCGUAGUAAUCUUUUAUCUCGCUUCUGUUAGGUGCUGCCCCCCCGGCCGUAAAACCCCCAAUUUUUUCUGGUUGACCUCGGAUCAGGUAGGAAUACCCGCUGAACUUAAGCAUAUCAAUUUGAGGAGGAAUCGGAAU
rnacentral:rRNA from 1 species